CCUCAAAUAACCCCGGAUGGAGAUGACCUCAAGUAACCCCAUCUCGAAAUGACCUCGAAUAACCCCAAAUGGAAGUGACCUUAAAUAACCCCAAUAGGUCCCGGAAGUCCUCCCUGAUGGAACCGGAAGUGCCCCCCCGGAAAUCCCCUUGACGAAACCGGAAGUGUACCCGGAAGUCCCCCUUGAUGUAACCGGAAGUGCCCCUAAAAGUCCCUUUAGAGCUAAUGGCUGCCCCAUAACCGGAAGUUGCCUUGAUAUAACCGGAAGUAACCCCGGAAGUCUCCAUGCCGGAACCGGAAGUAGCCCGGAAGUGCCCCCAAAGGUCCCUUUAGAGCUUCCGGUUGCCCCAUAGAAGGUCCUGGCAGCCCCAUAGAGGGUCCCAUCAGCCCCAUAGAGGGUCCCAUGGGCCCCAUAGAAGGUCCUGGCAGCCCUAUAGAAGGUCCUGGCAGCCCCAUAGAUGGACACAUCAACCCCAUAGAAGGUCCUGGCAGCCCCAUAAAUGGACCUGGCAGCCCCAUAGAUGAACCUGGCAGCCCCAUAGAAGGUCCCAUGGGCCCCAUAGGACCCAGCAGCCCCAUAGAAGGUCACAUCAGCCCCAUAGAAGGUCCUGGCAGCCCCAUAGGACCCGGCUGCCCCAUAGAAGGUCCUGGCUGCCCCAUAGAAGGACCCAGCUGCCCCAUAGAGGGUCCCAUCAGCCCCAUAGAAGGUCGUGGCAGCCCCAUAGAGGGUCCCAUAGCCCCACAGAGGGUCCUGGCAGCCCCAUAGGACCCGGCUGCCCCAUAGAAGGUCCUGGCAGCCCCAUAGAAGGACCUGGCUGCCCCAUAGAGGGUCCCAUGGGCCCCAUAGGACCCAGCAGCCCCAUAGAUGGACCUGGCAGCCCCAUAGGACACAUCAACCCCAUAGAAAGUCCUGGCAGCCCCACAGAGUGUCCCAUGGGCCCCAGAUGGACCUGGCAGCCCCACAGAGGAAUCAGGCUGCCCCAUAGAAGGACCUGGCAGCCCCAUAGAAGGUCCCAUCAGCCCCACAGAGGGUCCUGGCAGCCCCAUAGGACCCGGCUGCCCCAUAGAAGGUCCUGGCAGCCCCAUAGAAGGACCUGGCUGCCCCGUAGAUGGACCUGGCAGCCCCAUAGAGGGUCCCAUCAGCCCCAUAAGUGCCCCCCAACCGGAAGUAGCCCGGAAGUGCCCCCAAAGGUCCCUUUAGAGCUUCCAGCUGCCCCAUAGAUGGACCUGGCAGCCCCAUAGAGGGUCCCAUCAGCCCCAUAGAAGGUCACAUCAGCUCAUAGAAGGUCCUGGCAGCCCCAUAGAUGGACCCAGCUGCCCCAUAGAGGGUCCUGGCAGCCCCAUAGAGGGUCCCAUCAGCCCCAUAGAAAGUCCUGGCAGCCCCAUAGAGGGUCCCAUAGCCCCAUAGAGGGUCCUGGCUGCCCCAUAGAGGGUCCUGGCAGCCCCAUAGAUGGACCUGGCAGCCCUAUAGAAGGUCCUGGCUGCCCCAUAGGACCCGGCUGCCCCAUAGAGGGUCCCAUAGGCCCCAUAGAAGGUCCUGGCAGCCCAAUUGAAGGACCUGGCUGCCCCAUAGGACCCGGUUGCCCCAUAGAGGGUCCCAUAGGCCCCAUAGAAGGUCCUGGCAGCCCCAUAGAGGGUCCCAUAGCCCCAUAGAGGGUCCUGGCAGCCCCAUAGAAGGUCCUGGCAGCCCCAUAGAUGGACACAUCAACCCCAUAGAAGGUCCUGGCAGCCCCAUAGAAGGUCCUGGCAGCCCCAUAGAGGGUCCCAUAGCCCCAUAGAAUGACUUGGCAGCCCCACAGAAGGUCCUGGCAGCCCCAUAGAGUGUCCCAUGGGCCCCAGAUGGACCUGGCAGCCCCACAGAGGAAUCAGGCUGCCCCAUAGAAGGACCUGGCUGCCCCAUAGAUGGUCCUGGCUGCCACAUAGAAGGUCCUGGCAGCCCCAUAGAGGGUGCCAUAGCCCCAUAGAGGGUCCUGGCUGCCCCAUAGAAGGUCCUGGCAGCCCCAUAGAGGGUCCCAUAGCCCCAUAAGUGCCCCAUAGCCCCCCAUUAGGCGCAGUGUGCCCGUGCCCGCGCCAGCAGCUCGCUGAAGCUCUGGAAGAGCCGCUCCAACCAGUCGUGGUUCCUCAUGCAGCGCUGAACUACUUCCUCCUGCCCCACAUCCGCCAGCCCACCCUCAAUGGCCGU
rnacentral:lncRNA from 1 species